UCGGGAAUAUUGCGCAAUGGAGGAAACUCUGACGCAGUGACGCCGCGUGCAGGAAGAAGGUUUUCGGAUUGUAAACUGCUUUUAACAGGAAAGAAAAAAAUGACGGUACCUGUUGAAUAAGCUCCGGCUAACUACGUGCCAGCAGCCGCGGUAAUACGUAGGGAGCGAGCGUUAUCCGGAUUUAUUGGGUGUAAAGGGUGCGUAGACGGAAAUGCAAGUUAGUUGUGAAAUACCUCGGCUUAACUGAGGAGCUGCAACUAAAACUAUAUUUCUUGAGUAUCGGAGGGGUUUGUGGAAUUCCUAGUGUAGCGGUGAAAUGCGUAGAUAUUAGGAAGAACACCGGUGGCGAAGGCGACAAACUGGACGAUAACUGACGUUGAGGCACGAAAGUGUGGGGAGCAAACAGGAUUAGAUACCCUGGUAGUCCACACCGUAAACGAUGGAUACUAGGUGUUGGCAAUGAAUAAUUGUCGGUGCCGGCGCUAACGCAAUAAGUAUCCCACCUGGGGAGUACGACCGCAAGGUUG
rnacentral:rRNA from 1 species